UUCCCCCCCCCCCCCCCCCGCGGGGGGGGGGGGGGGACGGGGGGCCUACGGGAGGCAGCAGUGGGGAAUUUUGGACAAUGGGGGAAAGCCUG
rnacentral:rRNA from 1 species